GACGAACGCUGGCGGCGUGCUUAACACAUGCAAGUCGAACGGAAAGGCCCUGCUUUUGUGGGGUGCUCGAGUGGCGAACGGGUGAGUAACACGUGAGUAACCUGCCCUUGACUUUGGGAUAACUUCAGGAAACUGGGGCUAAUACCGGAUAGGAGCUCCUGCUGCAUGGUGGGGGUUGGAAAGUUUCGGCGGUUGGGGAUGGACUCGCGGCUUAUCAGCUUGUUGGUGUGGUAGUGGCUUACCAAGGCUUUGACGGGUAGCCGGCCUGAGAGGGUGACCGGCGACAUUGGGACUGAGAGACGGAGCAGACUGCUACGGGCGGCAGCAGUGGGGAAUAUUGCACAGUGGGCGGAAGCCUGUUGCAGCAAUGUCGCGUGCGGAAUGACGGCCUUCGGGUUGAAAACCGCUUUCGCCUGUGACGAAGCGUGAGUGACGGUAAUGGGUAAAGAAGCACCGGCUAACUACGUG
rnacentral:rRNA from 1 species